AUUGAACGCUGGCGGCAUGCCUUACACAUGCAAGUCGAACGGCAGCACGGGAGCUUGCUCCUGGUGGCGAGUGGCGAACGGGUGAGUAAUACAUCGGAACGUACCCUGAAGUGGGGGAUAACGUAGCGAGAGUUACGCUAAUACCGCAUAUUCUGUGAGCAGGAAAGAGGGGGAUCGCAAGACCUCUUGCUUUAGGAGCGGCCGAUGUCGGAUUAGCUAGUUGGUGAGGUAAAGGCUCACCAAGGCGACGAUCCGUAGCGGGUCUGAGAGGAUGAUCCGCCACACUGGGACUGAGACACGGCCCAGACUCCUACGGGAGGCAGCAGUGGGGGAAUUUUUGGACAAUGGGCGCAAGCCUGAUCCAGCCAUGCCGCGUGAGUGAAGAA
rnacentral:rRNA from 1 species